rnacentral:rRNA from 1 species
UUCCGGUUGAUCCCGCCGGACCUGACUGCUAUCGGAUUGAUACUAAGCCAUGCGAGUCAUUGUAGCAAUACAAGGCAUACGGCUCAGUAACGCGUAGUCAACCUAACCUAUGGACGGGAAUAACCUCGGGAAACUGAGAAUAAUGCCCGAUAGAACACUAUACCUGGAAUGGUUUGUGUUCCAGAUGAUUUAUCGCCAUAGGAUGGGACUGCGGCCUAUCAGUUUGUUGGUGAGGUAAUGGCCCACCAAGACUAUUACAGGUACGGGCUCUGAGAGGAGUAGCCCGGAGAUGGGUACUGAGACACGGACCCAGGCCCUAUGGGGCGCAGCAGGCGAGAAAACUUUGCAAUGUGCGAAAGCACGACAAGGUUAAUCCGAGUGAUUUGUGCUAAACGAAUCUUUUGUUAGUCCUAGAAACACUAACGAAUAAGGGGUGGGCAAGUUCUGGUGUCAGCCGCCGCGGUAAAACCAGCACCUCAAGUGGUCAGGAUGAUUAUUGGGCCUAAAGCAUCCGUAGCCGGCUCUGUAAGUUUUCGGUUAAAUCUGUACGCUUAACGUACAGGCUGCCGGGAAUACUGCAGAGCUAGGGAGUGGGAGAGAUAGACGGUACUCGGUAGGAAGUGGUAAAAUGCUUUGAUCUAUCGAUGACCACCUGUGGCGAAGGCGGUCUACCAGAACACGUCCGACGGUGAGGGAUGAAAGCUGGGGGAGCAAACCGGAUUAGAUACCCGGGUAGUCCCAGCUGUAAACUAUGCAAACUCAGUGAUGCAUUGGCUUGUGGCCAAUGCAGUGCUGCAGGGAAGCCGUUAAGUUUACCGCCUGGGAAGUACGUACGCAAGUAUGAAACUUAAAGGAAUUGGCGGGGGAGCACCACAAGGGGUGAAGCCUGCGGUUCAAUUGGAGUCAACGCCGGG